GAUGAACGCUGGCGGCGUGCCUAAUACAUGCAAGUCGAGCGAACAGACGAGGAGCUUGCUCCUCUGACGUUAGCGGCGGACGGGUGAGUAACACGUGGAUAACCUACCUAUAAUACUGGGAUAACUUCGGGAAACCGGAGCUAAUACCGUAUAAUAUAUUGAACCGCAUGGUUCAAUAGUAAAAGACGGUUUUGCGGUCGGUUAUGGAUGGAUCCGCGCCGGAUUAGCUAGUUGGUGAGGUAGUGGCGUACCAAGGCAUCGAUGGGUAGCCGGCCUGAGAGGGGGAGCGGCCACAGGGGGACUGAGAGACGGCCCAGAGUCCGACGGGAGGCAGCAGUGGGGAAUAUUGCACAAUGGGAUGAAGCCUGAUGCAGCAACGCCGCGUGCGGGAUGACGGCCGUCGGGUUGUAAACCGCUUUCGCCUGUGACGAAGCGUGAGUGACGGUAAUGGGUAAAGAAGCACCGGCUAACUACGUG
rnacentral:rRNA from 1 species